rnacentral:rRNA from 1 species
UACGUAGGGGGCGAGCGUUGUCCGGAAUUACUGGGCGUAAAGAGCGUGUAGGCGGGAAUUUAAGUCAGAUGUGAAACCUCCGGGCUCAACCUGGAGCAUGCAUCUGAAACUGGAUUUCUUGAGGGUAUGAGAGGAAAACGGUAUUCCUAGUGUAGCGGUGAAAUGCGUAGAUAUUAGGAGGAACACCAGUGGCGAAGGCGGUUUUCUGGCAUACAACUGACGCUGAGACGCGAAAGCGUGGGGAG